AUGCACGCUGGCUACAGGCUUCACACAUGCAAGUCGCGGGGAAACGACGGGGAAGCUUGCUUCCCCGGGCGUCGACCGGCGCACGGGUGAGUAACGCGUAUCCAACCUGCCUCUGACUGAGGGAUAACCCGUCGAAAGUCGGCCUAAUACCUCAUGGCAUCGUCUGCGGGCAUCCAACGACGAUUAAAGAUUUCAUCGGUCAGAGAUGGGGAUGCGUCUGAUUAGCUUGUUGGCGGGGUAACGGCCCACCAAGGCGACGAUCAGUAGGGGUUCUGAGAGGAAGGUCCCCCACAUUGGAACUGAGACACGGUCCAAACUCCUACGGGAGGCAGCAGUGAGGAAUAUUGGUCAAUGGGCGAGAGCCUGAACCAGCCAAGUAGCGUGCAGGAUGACGGCCCUAUGGGUUGUAAACUGCUUUUAUGCGGGGAUAAAGUGAGGGACGUGUCCUUCAUUGCAGGUACCGCAUGAAUAAGGACCGGCUAAUUCCGUG
rnacentral:rRNA from 1 species